CCUCCGUGCACAGAAAGGCUCACUGGCUUCUUAGCAGUAGCUUUGCUGGGAGCUGCGGUAUUCCAACAGCCCCUAGUGUCGGCUGGGAUGAUGUGACUUGGGGGUUAAAUGCAGUUUGCAGUUUCAAAAAAGAAAAGCAUGAUUUGUUGAAAGAGGCUCCUGAAGAAGAACAUCUGCGAAGAAGUCUAUCUCCCAUAUGGCUUUUAGGACACUUUGCAGUA
rnacentral:lncRNA from 1 species